UCCGGUUUGUCACCGGCAGUCUCCCUAGAGUGCCCUUGCGUAGCAACUAGUGACAAGGGUUGCGCUCGUUGCGGGACUUAACCCAACAUCUCACGACACGAGCUGACGACAACCAUGCAGCACCUGUGUCCACUUUCCCUUUCGGGCACCUAAUGCAUCUCUGCUUCGUUAGUGGCAUGUCAAGGGUAGGUAAGGUUUUUCGCGUUGCAUCGAAUUAAUCCACAUCAUCCACCGCUUGUGCGGGUCCCCGUCAAUUCCUUUGAGUUUUAAUCUUGCGGCCGUACUCCCCAGGCGGUCAACUUCACGCGUUAGCUACGGUACUGAGGGGUAAACCCACCAACGGCUAGCAUCCAUCGUUUACGGCGUGGACUAC
rnacentral:misc_RNA from 1 species